UACGAAGGGGGCUAGCGUUGUUCGGAAUUACUGGGCGUAAAGCGCGCGCAGGCGGCUAUCCAAGUCAGUGGUGAAAGCCCGGAGCUCAACUCCGGAACUGCCAUUGAAACUGUUUAGCUUGAGGAUGAGAGAGGUGAGUGGAAUUCCCAGUGUAGGGGUGAAAUCCGUAAAUAUACGAAGGAACGCCAAAAGCGAAGGCAGCUCUCUGGGUCCCUACCGACGCUGGGGUGCGAAAGCAUGGGGAGCGAACAGG
rnacentral:rRNA from 1 species